rnacentral:rRNA from 1 species
UACGUAGGGUGCAAGCGUUAAUCGGAAUUACUGGGCGUAAAGCGUGCGCAGGCGGUAAGUUAAGUCUGAUGUGAAAGCCCCGGGCUCAACCUGGGAAUGGCAUUGGAAACUGGCUUGCUGGAGUGUGGCAGAGGGGGGUGGAAUUCCGCGUGUAGCAGUGAAAUGCGUAGAGAUGCGGAGGAACACCGAUGGCGAAGGCAGCCCCCUGGGCCAACACUGACGCUCAGGCACGAAAGCGUGGGGAGCAAACAGG